rnacentral:rRNA from 1 species
ACAAUGGGCGCAAGCCUGAUGCAGCCAUGCCGCGUGUAUGAAGAAGGCCUUCGGGUUGUAAAGUACUUUCAGCGGGGAGGAAGGGAGUGAGGUUAAUAACCUCAUUCAUUGACGUUACCCGCAGAAGAAGCACCGGCUAACUCCGUGCCAGCAGCCGCGGUAAUACGGAGGGUGCAAGCGUUAAUCGGAAUUACUGGGCGUAAAGCGCACGCAGGCGGUCUGUCAAGUCGGAUGUGAAAUCCCCGGGCUCAACCUGGGAACUGCAUUCGAAACUGGCAGGCUGGAGUCUUGUAGAGGGGGGUAGAAUUCCAGGUGUAGCGGUGAAAUGCGUAGAGAUCUGGAGGAAUACCGGUGGCGAAGGCGGCCCCCUGGACAAAGACUGACGCUCAGGUGCGAAAGCGUGGGGAGCAAACAGGAUUAGAUACGGGGGGGUU